rnacentral:rRNA from 1 species
UACGUAGGGUGCAAGCGUUAAUCGGAAUUACUGGGCGUAAAGCGUGCGCAGGCGGUUUUGUAAGUCUGACGUGAAAGCCCCGGGCUCAACCUGGGAAUUGCGGUGGAGACUGCAAGGCUUGAAUCUGGCAGAGGGGGGUAGAAUUCCACGUGUAGCAGUGAAAUGCGUAGAGAUGUGGAGGAACACCGAUGGCGAAGGCAGCCCCCUGGGUCAAGAUUGACGCUCAUGCACGAAAGCGUGGGGAGCAAACAGG